AACCCAAACUAAUAGACCCACGGCGUAAAGCGUGUUAUAGAGAAAAAAAUAUACUAAAGUUAAACCUUAGCUAAGCCGUAAAAAGCUACAGCUAACAUGAAAAUACAGCACGAAAGUAACUUUAAUAUCUCCAACCACACGAUAGCUAAGACCCAAACUGGGAUUAGAUACCCCACUAUGCUUAGCCCUAAACCUAGAUAGUUAACUCAAACAAAACUAUCCGCCAGAGAACUACUAGCAACAGCUUAAAACUCAAAGGACUUGGCGGUGCUUUACAUCCCUCUAGAGGAGCCUGUCCUAUAAUCGAUAAACCCCGAUAUACCUCACCAUCUCUUGCUAAUU
rnacentral:rRNA from 1 species